rnacentral:rRNA from 1 species
GAGCCAUAGAAGUCGGAACGCUAGUUUCGACGGAGGCGUUGGUGGGAUACUACCCUUGCAUUAUGACCACUCUAACCCGCAGCACUGAACGUGCUGGGAGACAGUGUCAGGUGGGCAGUUUGACUGGGGCGGUCGCCUCCUAAAAGGUAACGGAGGCGCCCAAAGGUUCCCUCAGAAUGGUUGGAAAUCAUUCGCAGAGUGUAAAGGCACAAGGGAGCUUGACUGCGAGACAGACAGGUCGAGCAGGGACGAAAGUCGGGCUUAGUGAUCCGGUGGUACCGUAUGGAAGGGCCAUCGCUCAACGGAUAAAAGCUACCCUGGGGAUAACAGGCUUAUCUCCCCCAAGAGUCCACAUCGACGGGG